GCAAGGUGUGGUGGCGCACAUCUGUAAUCCCAGUGACAUGGGAGGCUGAGGCAGGAGGAUCGCAAGUUUGAGGCCAGUCUUAGCAAUUAGCAAGGCCCCAAGCAACUGAGUGAGACCCUGUCUCAA
rnacentral:sRNA from 1 species